rnacentral:tRNA from 1 species
GCCCGGGUGGUGUAGCCUGGGAACAUGCCGGCCUGUGGAGCCGGAGAUCCCGAGUUCAAAUCUCGGCCCGGGCC